CAGUAGCCGCGGUAAUACGUAGGGCGCAAGCGUUAUCCGGAAUUAUUGGGCGUAAAGAGCUCGUAGGCGGUUUGUCGCGUCUGCCGUGAAAGUCCGGGGCUCAACCCCGGAUCUGCGGUGGGUACGGGCAGACUAGAGUGAUGUAGGGGAGACUGGAAUUCCUGGUGUAGCGGUGAAAUGCGCAGAUAACAGGAGGAACACCGAUGGCGAAGGCAGGUCUCUGGGCAUUAACUGACGCUGAGGAGCGAAAGCAUGGGGAGCGAACAGGAUUAGAUACCCGCGUAGUCCCUGUCUCUUAUAC
rnacentral:rRNA from 1 species